rnacentral:rRNA from 1 species
CAUAGUUUACUGGAUAUAUUCCAUUACAUGGAUAACUGUGGUAAUUCUACAGCUAAUACACGCAUCAAAGCCCCGACUUAAUGAAGGGGUGCGUUAGUUACUUCAAACCAAUCGGUCUUCGGACUGACUGCAAAUGAUGUUGAACUAUUUAGCUGAUCGCACGGUCUUGCACCGGCGACAUAUCCUUCAAAUGUCUGCCUUAUCAACUUUCGAUGGUAGAUUAUGCGCCUACCAUGGUUGUAACGGGUAACGGAGAAUCAGGGUUUGAUUCCGGAGAGGGAGCCUGAGAAAUGGCUACCACA